rnacentral:lncRNA from 1 species
UAAGAACAUUCUAUAAAAUAAGAAGAAAAGAUAUCACAUAAUUUCAUACAAACAAACUGAGAAUUAGGAGACUACUAGAGUUCUUAACAGAAAUAAUUUAAACUUGAAAAGAACAGAAAAAUGCCUUCAAAAAUCUGAGGAGAAAUUAUUUUCUACUUAGAAUUAUAUGCCCAGCAAAAUUAUGAAUACAUGUGAAUCUAGAAUAAAGAUAACUUCUGAACAUUCUUGGUUUCAAAGAUGUAUCUCCCAUGCAUCAUUUUAAAGAAAAUUAUAAGAAAAUAUACUUCACUAAAAUAAGGGAGUAAUCUAAGAAAAGGGAGUAUUCUGAUAUUCAAGAAAUCAUGGCUUUAAUCUAAGAGAGGUAAUGGGACUCUGCAAAAUGAUAGUGAAGAAGUAAUGUCAAAUAAUACCUGUGAAAUAAACCUACAGAUCAAUUUAUUUAAAUUGGGUCAAAUAAAAAUGGGUAGGAGAUAUUUCCUCAAAAAGAUAAAAAAAAGAAUACUUAAUCUAUAGAAAUAUUGGAUGGAGAUUUAUACAACUGGGGGAGGGUUGCAGAUUGAAUUAGUGAUUAAAAACAAAGACAAAAUGAAGCAAUUAUUAAUCUAUAAAUACAAAAAUUAUGUAGGAAAAUGACUGUGGAUUAUUAUAUGCUUUGUUAUGAAAAUAGUUUAAAUAAUAUUAAUAAUAUACACACUGAGUAUUGGUUUAACCAAAUGUUUUAUUUAACUAUAUUAGGAUGAUAGAAAAGUAGAAGGUGUUUAUAUAAAUGCUGUGUGAGAAGAGACGAGGGUCCUUAAAGAAAGCUAAAUUCUUAUCUUUUCUAGUGGAAAUAGAUAACCCCUAAACUGGUAAAUGAAGAAAAUAAUAAUAUAAGAAUAUUAUUUUCCAGCCGGACACGGUGGCUUACGCCUGUAAUACCAGCACUUUGGGAGGCCAAGGCGGGUGGAUCACGAGGUCAGGAGAUCGAGACCAUCCUGGCUAACACAGUGAAACCCCAUCUCUACUAAAAAUACAAAAAAAUUAGCCGGGCUUGGUGGCGGGCGCCUGUAGUCCCAGCUACUCGGGAGGCUGAGGCAGGAGAAUGGCGUGAACCCGGGAGGCGGAGCUUGCAGUGAGCUGAGACUGUUCACUAAUCAUCUCUUAGGCAUUAUGUUAGGGACAGAGAUUACAGUGUUAUUCUGAAUUCAGUAGGUCUGUGUUGAGGCUUGAAAAUUUACAUUUCUAAAAUGCUCUCAGAUGAUUUUGAUGACGCCAAUAGGAGCAACACACAUUGAGAAUACUGCUAUUGACUAUAUAUAAUUCGAUAUAAGUAUGAUUGUAAACAUACUGCCCCCUAAGGGGAAAGUCCAACAACUUAUAAUUUGCUUACGGCCACUGCCGGUUUUAACAAAGGCGAAUAUGAAUCAAAAAAGACAAAAAUUUGUCUGGAAGUAGAAGUAAAGAUAUAGCCCUCAUGCCUUGCAGCAUCAGAGAUUACAGGGUUAAAAAAGACAAAAUCUAUGUGCAUCAGGACUAAUCUUUGACCUUCUAGAGAAGUACUGUCCAAAAGAAAUAGGAUAUGAGCCAAAAAUACAAUUUUAAAUAUUCUAGUAGCCAUAUUAAAGAAGAAUAAAUAAGUAAAAUCAAUUGUAAUAAUAUAUCUUAUUUAUCCAAAUAUAGCUAAAAUAUCAUUUUAACAUGUAAUCAGUAGAAACAUUAUUAAUGAGCUCUUUUACAUUCUUUGUUUUCAUACUAAGGUAUAGUAUAAAUUAGUUUGUAAUUUAUACCUGCCCAAAUCUGCUGGCACGUUAAUCUUGGACUUCCUAGCCUCCAGAACUGUUGCGGGAAGUCAGGGACCCUGAACAGAGGGACCGGCUGGAGCCGAGGCAGAAGAACAUAAAUUGUGAAGAUUUCAUGGACAUUUAUCAGUUCCCAAAAUUAAUACUUUUAUAAUUUCUUACACCUCUCUUUACUGCAUUCUCUGAACAUAAACUGUGAAGAUUUCAUGGACAUUUAUCACUUCUUCCCGAAUUAAC